CCGUCACGCCGCCACCGCCCCUCCCACCGCGUGAGCGUCGCCGGCCACCGCGCCCCCGCCGCACGGGCCGCCAGCCACCGCCCCUCCCACCGCGCGGGCCGCGGGCCGCCGCCCCUCCUGCCGCGCGGGCAUCGCCGGCCAUCUCCCUCCUGCUGCCACUCUAGAUGGCACUCUUCCAUCUACAGGGGUGUUUUAGACAUUAGGAACCACACAUAAUGUGAAAAUGAAGGAAACCUAAUGGAAAGGGCAUGGAAGGUAUCAAAGCAAAAUUUUAGGGGUACAGAGGGGAUCGUGUAAAAUUGGAGGGUAUAGAAGAGAUUAGGUGAGUUUUCAUGUGUACACAAGGGAUUUACUCUUCUUCUUUCAUUUUGCACCGUUGUGAAUUUGCGAUCCGAGAUGCGCUUUCCUGCCCUUAUGUGGCCACAUAAGCUGCAACUCUCCGAUCAAUGCCUCUCCUCACCAGCAAUAGUAGCGGGAGAAGCCUAGGUUCAGCAAUCAGGAGGGAAGGCAGCAAGGUUCGUCAGCUCUAAUCCAAAAACACAGCUCCUCAAUGCACAACUUUUCUCUGUAGGUGAAGGCCCUCGCUCCUGCAAACAACAGGUUUCUGAUGAUUUUAUGAAUGAGGCUCCUCUUUGGAUGUUUGCUUCUUAUAUGUGUUUUAUUUUACAUUAAUUAAUUGCCCUUCUGACAAAAAAGGGAGAUAUCAGAUUAGACAAACUAAGAACUGAAUCCUAUGAUGCAGGCAAGCAAUGGCAUCCUCUGCAAUCAAUAAAGGUUUCCACUUUUCAGCACUCCCAACUAGCUUUUUCUUUUAGUUUCAGUAAGAACUUUGAUUGAAUGUUAAGUACGCCAUCAUCCUCCCAAGAAAAUGUGGAACUGCAUGUUGCAUGUUGGUAAAUAAUAAUUGAUAAAAGGUACUGACUGCAAAACCCAAAAUUGCAGUCACCAAUUGCUUCUAAUAAAAUUGGUGCACACAUGUUUUAGUUUCCUAAUAAAAUAAUUUGCUGGCAAUUGUGGCAUACUAUAAAGCCCAUGUCCUGCUUUACCUUGGACAGAUAAUAAGAGCAUUGUAUAUACCCAUAGGUGCACUUACAAUUAUCCCUUUUUCUUGGUGUGUGCAGAAAGAUAGUUUUGCAAUUGACUUGGCAUAUUUACUGUUAGUGGCAGCGAUCAUGGUUAUCACUCUUUCAAGUAAUAAUGAUGUUGCCCUCUUGAUAAAAGUUAUUCUCUCUUCAGGUUUUCUUUGCAUAUAUUUCAGAUUUUUAUUGAUUGCACAUCAGUGACUAUGUUUGAUGCUUUACAAUACAAAAUUCCUUUCUAAAUUUGUAGGAAAGCUGGAAAAAAAAUCGGAACAUAAGUGCAGAACUGACCUUUUGGUUAAAUCUACCGAUGACUGAUAAUACUAUUUUGUUAGUUCAUUGUGUGGCGUAAUGUUUUGAACUGUUCGAUAAAAUCCCUGGUAAUCUUUUUUUUGUUUUCAUCUGUUUGCAUUUGCAAAGCAACUCAUUUAAUUAGCUAGCUUUAGGUUGCUUAAUUACAUUUUUAUAUAGCUAAAGUUUCUCCUCCUUUAUUUCAAGUAAAGAUGUUUCUUCUCUGGAAUUUUGAUAUUGUAGAGUUCUAAUGAGUUUUAAUUACUAACGAUAUAAGGCAUAAAUUUUAUCCAUCAAUAUAUGCUUCUGAUUAUUUCAUAUAUUAUUUUCAAUAGAUGGAGCUUGGCUCAUAAAUGCAAUGGGUGAUUUAUGGCCUUUAAAGGGUUUCACUGCAUAAGGUAUUGUGAUUUUAGGCAGUUUUAGCAGCCUUCCGAGCUAAUGCACAUCAAAAUAAUUUUCUUGCUAAUAUGUGUAUUUAACAAGAAAUAACCGAUUCAGGCAAUGAAAUCGCUUUCCAGAUUGGGCUAUAAUUAAUUGCUCAGCAAAGAUGUCGAACUAGAUAUGUAGACUAAUCCUAAUAGGCAAGGAAAAAAAAGAGGAUAUAUUCACAAAAUGAUAAAGUUGUUUCCAGAAUGUUCACACUUGGUAUAUUCUUUUUACUUCAAUUAAGGCAACCAUGUUGAAUACUAUUUUGAUGAUGAUUUUCUGAAAUACCACUGUGAUGACUAUUUUUUGGAAGUGAAAGAGAUAAAUUUCUACUUGCAUAGUAUAUAAACUCAUUGGUAAUCAUGUAAAUGCCAUUUUAAUUUCAGAUCAAGAUGAGUAUAUUUGAAGUAGCGGGGUGAAGAGAAGCUAUUAUGUACAUGGUGGAGCUGGAGAUGUGGAGUCAUUUUUUUGGAUUAUAUAAUGUAGACAGUGGAGUUCAUUUCAAUGCCAUAAAGACAUAUAUUGCUCUGAGCUUUUCAAAUGUUUAUCGAGCUUUAUAUGACAAAUUAUGUAGCUGCUUUGCAUUUUUUAGUGUUUAAAAGCGGUUAUAAAGUAGUAUGUCAAAUUACAUUAGUAGAUAACUCUGAGUAUGUAUGUUUUGUGUGAUAUAUAUUACAGGAAAAUGCAAUAAAUUUUGUCUUUAUAUGAUUGCAGUGACAUAAAUUGUUGAAGCACGUACACGAUUACUAGUACUAGUAAAAGACUCAGUUUUGAACUUCUUCGAGGUCCAAGUUUCAACCUCUUGCAGCAAUAAGCC
rnacentral:lncRNA from 1 species